rnacentral:tRNA from 1 species
AGGGAUAUAGCUCAGUUCGGCCAGAGCAGCCGUCUCCAAAGCGGCGUGUCGCAGGUUCAAAUCCUGCUAUCCCUGC